rnacentral:rRNA from 1 species
UACAGAGGGUGCAAGCGUUAAUCGGAAUUACUGGGCGUAAAGCGUGCGUAGACGGUUACAUAAGUCAGAUGUGAAAGCCCCGGGCUCAACCUGGGAAUUGCAUUUGAGACUGCGUAGCUAGGGUGCGGAAGAGGGAAGCGGAAUUUCCGGUGUAGCGGUGAAAUGCGUAGAUAUCGGAAGGAACACCAGUGGCGAAAGCGGCUUCCUGGUCCAGCACCGACGUUCAGGCACGAAAGCGUGGGGAGCAAACAGG